AUUGAACGCUGGCGGCAGGCCUAACACAUGCAAGUCGAGCGGGGUUUUCGGACCUAGCGGCGGACGGGUGAGUAAUGCGUAGGAGGCUACCCGAUAGAGGGGGAUACCAGUUGGAAACGACUGUUAAUACCGCAUAAUGUCUACGGACCAAAGUGUGGGACCUUCGGGCCACAUGCUAUCGGAUGCGCCUACGUGGGAUUAGCUAGUUGGUGAGGUAAUGGCUCACCAAGGCGACGAUCUCUAGCUGGUUUGAGAGGAUGAUCAGCCACACUGGAACUGAGACACGGGCCAGACUCCUACGGGAGGCAGCAGUGGGGAAUAUUGGACAAUGGGCGCAAGCCUGAUCCAGCCAUGCCGCGUGUGUGAAGAAGGCCUUCGGGUUGUAAAGCACUUUCAGUGAGGAGGAAGAGUUGUGUGUUAAUAGUACACAGCUUUGACGUUACUCGCAGAAGAAGCACCGGCUAACUCUGUGCCAGCCGCCGCGGUAAAAC
rnacentral:rRNA from 1 species